rnacentral:lncRNA from 1 species
CGGCCUCCGAAGGCUGUUAGUCCACGGCUGUGCUGGACCAGGCGGCGCCGAGGGCAAGCUGCCGGGGACAGGGGGCGUGGGCACAAGCAGGAAGCCGGGAGGACGGACCGGCCCUGGCGACGUCCUGCAGAAGAAGUUGGCACCGUCCAUCGCAGGACCGCACACCUGCCUCCCACCAGCGAGGUGAGCUAGCAGGUGUGCAAUAGCGGAUGGGCCGCAGCCACACCUGGGGCCCCGCCCGGACCGCUGCGGCUUCACCCUCCGUCCGCCAAACCUCAGCGAGAUGCCUCUUGUGAUCCAGUUAGCAAACCCCGUGGGAAAGGGGUUGGGAGGGGGGAGGAGGGAUGGUAGUUAAGGCUAACUUAGCUGACACGUCACAAAGCCACCACAGUACCUGAAACUAAAUUGGGGACACUGUUAGAAGGGCUGCCAAAAGUAUCAUCUACAAAGGCCCCUGAAGAGCUUUACACGGAUUCUAAGAUAAGAUCCACCUUGCUGUGAAAGAUCACUCUCGGUUUCCGCUGCAGAAAGGGCAGGCUAGGUCGUUAUGACCAACCCUUCCGCAACAAGGGAGUGAAGCAUUCCAGAAAGGUGAACUUUUCCCCCAGUGAGCAUCUUUCUAUUUGGAAGAGGUAUUAGAAAGUUCCGCUACUGGGGCAUCUGGGUGCUUCAGUUGAGCAUCCAACUUCGGCUCAGGUCAUGAUGGUGAGUUCGAGCCCCACAUCGGCUCACUGCUAUCAGCAGAGGCUGCUUCAGAGUCUCUGUCCCUCCCUCUGCCCCUCCCCCGCUCGCACUCUGUCAAAAAUAAAACAUUACAAAAAUUAUAAAAAACAAAACAAAAACCUCAGCUUCUGAGCAAAGCUCCCAAGAGACCAAAGCCCCAAGGGAUUAAGUUAUUAUUCUGACAUCCCUGCAGAGACAGAGGGUCUAGUAAAGCCCCGGGUUUUGGGUUGGAGCUCCGUAAUGCCUUACUCUAGGACAAGAGUGACCUGGAGGAAUGCCAAACCUCAUGGGGCCUGAAGCUCAGCCUCAGACCGCAGCCGUGUGAGCGGGGUGCUGUGUUUUUGGCUCCCAGCCAGAAGUGGAGGUCAAUCCUUUCCAGAGAAGGAAGAAAAUACCAUCUUAGGUCUCCAGUUAUCUUCAUGGUUUUAGAAUGUGUAACAUACGGGGCACCUGGGUGGCUCGGUCGGCUCAGGUCAUGAUUUCACGGUUUGUGGGUUUGAGCCCUGUAUGGGGCUCUGCACUGACAGUGAGGAGCCUGCUUGGGAUUCUCUCUCUCCCUCUCUCUCUCUCUCUCUCUCUCUGCCCGUCUCCCCCAGAUGAAUAAAUAAACAUUAAAACGUAGAAAUAAAGUGUGUAAUGUUAGUCACACACCAGGCAACAUGAACACGUGAUCAAAUCCAAGAAAAACAGGAGAAAAAAGAAACUGACCUGUGGGUGGUCCAGAUAAUGAAAUUUGCAAGAAUACAGUUUGGUAAGGCUUAAUAUGUUCAAAGAAGUAAUGAUAUUGGAAAUUACAGCCAGGAAUCAAAUUGGAAUUCUGGAUCUGAAAAAAUACAAUAAUAGCUUAGAGCUGAAGAGGGUGUUGGUGAAGCAGAAAGUAGGUUAGAAGACCACAUCCAUCAACAGGCAGGGGGAGUAGGGUCGGCACAGGGGAUUCCACGAGCAAGUCUAACACACGGAGACUCUGGCCAACUCAGCACCUCCGUCCUGCCCUCGGAGUGCCUCCUCUCCUGCCCUGGAUACUUUUCUGUGUGGUUACAGGGGCUCUUGCAGGAGGCUUGGAAACGGAGGAAGACGGGCUAUUAGUUUCUGGAGGCACACGCAACGCUAAGGGCAGGUGAGAGGUUCAGAGCAGAUUCCCAGAUGACCCACCGUGGCAGGACGGGCAUAGUGUGGCGGUUACAGACGUGCCUGUCGGAAAGUGUAUGAAAAGUCUUUCUUUUGAUCUCACUCUUGAAUGAGGGUUAACUGGUAUAGAACUCCUCGUUGGCAGUUAUUUCGAGUCAGAAUUUUAAAGACACGGCUCUUUGGAAGCUCUUGCUGCUGACGAGAAGCUUGCUGUCCAUUGAAUUGCCAUUUCUGUGAGGGAAAUCUGUCUUUCCUUACUGUGUCCUUAAUGUCCUGACAUUUCACUACGAUAAUUGUCAAGUGUGGGUUGUUUCAGUGACGCUGCUUGGCACUUGGUGUGUUCUUCCUGUCUGAGAACAGAAAGGAUCUUCGAUCCUGGACAUUCCAGGCAUUUUGUCUUCACGUAAAUGUGGCCUGUGGUCUGGACCCCGACCUCGAUUCUCUUAUUCUGGGUCUCCUGUGAGGGGAUAGAUUGAAACCAGUCAGUCGUUCUCCAUGUCUCAAAACUGCUUUUCUUAAUUUUUACCUGUGCUCUCCACCGGGAAAUCUGUCUCCACUGGUGCCCACUUAGACUUUGUAUCAUGUACUUAGAUGGUUAUUUUUUUAUGACUUCAUGUCUCAUUUCUAAUUUUCUUUGUUCUACUGUUCUUAUUUUGUUUUUCCAGUUCUUGUUUCAUAAUCUCUUCCAAGUUUUUGUGGAUGUUUUCUCUUUAUCCAAUGUGAGAAUCCUAAACAUGGUUAUUUUAAAAUCUGCUCUAUUUUAGUUUUUAGGUUGCUGUAUUGUUUUCAUUUCAUCUGGGAUGAAUUCAUCUGCUGGUUGCUGAUCUUGUUAUCUUUCUUCUUAGAGUAACGUGCUUUGGAAUUGAGGCUGGCAGGCUCGUCGUAGACAAGGGGCUUGUGUUCUGUGUUCUCUGUCUGCUCACCUGUCUAUGUUUCUCCGUCCUGCAGGUGCCUCCACACAGCCUUUUGGGGCUCUGCAGCGCUGAUGUGUGUUACACUGGGGGCUCGGGGCUCUCGUGCAGCCACCCCCUGAGAAGUGCAGAAGUGUCCAAGUCCAUCCUCUGGGGGAUCCUCAGGUAACUGUUGCAGAGGUGAUUUUCUUUCUCAACUUCCUGUCGUAGAGGUGGGAGACUUGCCCUGGGUCCAAUUUUAGGUGAUGCUCUUGGCUGUUGUUCCCCCACUCCCUUUGGGCAGUUUUAGACUCUUCGACCCUCAGGGACCGCAUUUCCCAGCCACUUGCCUAUUUCUGGACCCAGAGCCCCACAGGUCCAAGGUCUCUAUCCUGCACCCUGUUCUGUGUCUUCCUUCCGCCUUUGGUCUGUGGAAGGGUUAGGGUUUUUAAUGCUUUCUUUUUAAACAUCUCUGUCGUGGCCGUGGAUGGAGGGAAUGGUGGAAGCGUCUGUGCGCGCGAACCGAGGGUGCCUGCUUGCCCAGAGGAAGUAAGUGUUUUAUGGACAAUGGACAAUAAGAGCAUUUUGUUCUGUUUUAGUUUUUCCUGUUUAAUUUCUUGGUAUGAAGAGGCUGUAAGUUAUGUUUGGUGGAUUCCUGGUAACUAACAUCCUUCUGUAUCAAAAGAAAAGCAAAAUAAAAAAUAUGUAUUUUUUAAAUGUUUAUCCAUUUUUGAGAGAGAGACAGAGUGCAAGUGGAGGCAGGGCAGAGAGAGAGGGAGGCACAGAAUCCGAAGCAGGUUCCAGGCUCUGAGCUGUCAGCACAGAGCCCAAUGCAGGGCCUGAACCCACGAACUGCGAGAUCAUGACCUGAGCCGAGGCCGGACGCUUAACCGACUGAGCCACCCAGGCGCCCCCAAGACAAAAUAUUUUUAAAACUUGAAAUCUACUUUCUAGAAAGUUUUUAAAAAAAGAGAAUAAGCAUUUCUAGGUAAGCUUCACAGACUUCAGAACGGCGGGGAGUUAUUUUCUGGAAAACGUUCCAGAUGCUUCUGAGCAGCUGGCGCCAUCUCUGCUCUGCCGGCCGCGCCGAGUUCUAAAUGCGGCGGUUGAAACAUAUCCUUCCUCAGAAGGCAGUGAGGCCGCAGAGGGAAGACGACC